rnacentral:sRNA from 1 species
CUUUAAAAAUCUGGAUCAAGCUGAAAAUUGAAACACUGAACAGUGCGAACUGUUCUGUGAGUCUCUCAAAUUUUCGCGACACGCGGAUGUUUCACGAAACAUCUUCGG